rnacentral:lncRNA from 1 species
CCGCGUGCCCGAGAGGCUCUGGGAGAUGUUAUGUGGUCAACAGGGACUGAGGCUCUUUAAGCCCUUAAAUCUCUAAGGGCUAAAUCUCCUUCCUGAUAUUCGCCCCCAAACCGGCACCAAAGAAGGCCCAGAGAGGUUUAACAACUUCCUCAGAAUCACACAGCUUCCAAAUGGUUGGGUUGGGUUUACAUUUAGGCGGUCUUGCUCCAGAGCCAGUGCACCUAACCUUUGCAAGCCACGAACCUCAACAAAGUGGAGAAGGAAACGCUGGGAAAUUUGGAAGUCAGACAUGAGAGCUAAUGCUGGCAGCUGUUGGGAUGUCCUCUUCCAGGAAUGGUGAUGAGUUUCCCUGGAUCCAGCCCUGGC